rnacentral:tRNA from 1 species
GAGGGUAUAGCUGAGUGGUAGAGCAUAUGCUCAGCAUUUACAAGGUCCUGGGUUCAAUCCCCAGUACCUCCU